UGCACUGUGAGUGUGAGCUCCUGUCAGUGGGGGUGGGGUGUAAAAUUUGCUGCCACAACUUCUCCGUUCAACACAAACUCCUGUCACAGAUUUUACCCGCUGGUUCAGCUUGAAGCAGUCCUGCGAUGAAAAGAGAGUAGACGAUUGUUUCCAGACACUCCACCACACUCACUGAACUUCAUCUGGAGAUGUGGGAAGCCCCCGAAGUGGUUUUGUGGAUGGACAUCUGCAUCUUCCUUCCACUGACCGUACUGUUCAUCUGCUGUGUGUGUUGUGCGGAGCAAAGGGACCAGGGCCCUGUCAUCUAUUACAAAAACCUCCUCAUCUCCAAUCUGAUCCAGCUCUGCAUAAUGAUCUUUUGGUGGGCAGUACUCAAUUAUGAUACCUGGUGUAUCAUUUACUGCUGUGGUGCGAUGGCCAAUCUCUACUUCAAGAUGAGCAUUGUUCUGGAAAGGUAUUUUUUCAUCACCUGCCCACAGCUGGACUGCCUCAGACAAACUCAGGGUUCUGUGCUGGUCUGUGUUCUGGUCUGGUCCUUUUGUGUUAUCAGUGUUGCUCUUGCCAUAGUCUUAGACAAACUUUUAUGCUUAAUUAUUUAUGCCGCCCUCCCUGCCCCCCAGUUCAUCUUCUGUGUAGCCGGGACCCUCAGAGCUCUGCCUGCUGCCACCUCAGUUCAUACUGAGGAAAAACGAAGAACUGUGGGAACUUUGAUUCUGCUGCUGUUUAACUACUCGCUGAUAACCUAACUGCAGUUGUUCUAUUAACUCUCAACUUGCGUCCACGCCGCCCCGUCGCAGACAUUGAUCUUAUCAUUUUGAUCAUUUUUCUCCUCAGUUCUUUUUUAGACUUGAUAUUGUUUGCUUUCAAGUGUAAAGGGCCCAUUGACAGACUGCUGGCCUGUGUGUGCUGCUGCAGCAUGGAGAACAGCAGCAACACAGAUGUGACUGAUGUUAGCACAGAGAGGUGGAUUCAUGUAGUCAGAGACAAAAGGAGAGCGAAAACACACGAUGGCAGAGACGAGGAGUUAGAGUGAGAUAAGCAAACACCAUACUUUAUACACACCUACACGUGUAUAUAAAUAAAAAUAAAUCAUUUAUACAUUUUCUGCAUCACUGAACGAAUAUAUGCAAAUUAUACUGACAAUGAGACAGUUUGCACUGCUGUAAUUGGGCCUCAGUUGUGAUUUUACUAUAGUAAGGCUUAAUAAAUUGCACUUAGAAAACAUAAACACGGCUCUUCCAGAUGAUUUUAAACUGAAACUCUGAGCAUCACCUGCUCCCAGCCAGGUUAUGUAUUCAGCAUAAGUUACACACCAAGAUUAACGUCUCACAUUCUUCUGCAAGUGUAAUGGAAAAGUUAUGUUUCAGCUCAUCUGUCCUCUGUGUACUGUUGGUGUGUAACUGUAACUUUCUUGUACAAAGACUGAGUGUGGGAAGAUGUAGACACAACCGUCUGUAAGCUGUGGUCAAGGUCAUAAUGCAGUUUGUGUCUUCAUUAUCAGGCUGGUGCCUACAUGUCUGUGAGAAACUGUUCUGCUGAACAGAAAAAGAUUGUAUCCAAAUUAUGAGUAUAAAGGAGAAGUUGUUAUUUUGUUUCUUUAUCAACGCUUUUGGAAAGACCGUUCAUGCUGUAUUGAUCCCUUUGCAAAGGUUUCCUUCAAUAAACCAGUUUUUGGAGCUUAGGGGUGACACAAAAAGUUAAAAUUAUAAAUAAUUAUUUACUACACAUAUUAGAAAACAACUGUCCCAAAACUUAGUAAUGAAACUAAACAACUGUGAAGACUGAAGGGUGGUUGCCACACUUAGUCUGAUUGUUGGUUGAAGUGUGAGCUGGUGGAAGAUGUGCAGGUGGAAAUGUGACCCUUUUUUGUUUGUUUUAUGUAGAUGAAAAAUGUUAGUCCUGUUAUCACUCAACAUAAAAUGAUCGUGGACUGAAUUUUUGCUGUUAUUAAUGCCGCUGUGCUGCACCAGGAAAACACGUCAGACCACAGCAGCUUUAUUUCACUUCACUCCUUUGGCCAGUAGAUGGAGACACAAAGCUCCAAGCAGCGUGCCUGACAGUGGGUCUGUUCACCGAUGUUUACAGUUGAAGAGUCAUAGUCACAGCUUUAGUCUUGUUGGCAAUGUGAAAAUUUGGCAUUUUAUUCACUAUUUAUUGUUUUUAUUAUAUUGUUGAAAUAUUUACUAUGUUUUGGAAACAGGUCUCUCUUACAAAUGAGACACUGAGUCUCUGUGGGACUACCUGUAUAAAUAACUAUGGUUUUGAAAGGUAUGCAUCUGUGUUUCAGUGUGUGUAUUUGCAAUGCUCUGAACAUUAUGUUGUAUUGUGAAGCAUACUUACAAUAAGAAGGUGGCUGUAGCUCAGUAGGUAGAGCAG